rnacentral:rRNA from 1 species
UACGGGGGGGAGCAAGCGUUGUUCGGAUUUACUGGGCGUAAAGGGCGCGUAGGCGGCUCGGUAAGCGUGCGGUGAAAGCCCGGGGCUCAACCCCGGGUCGGCCGUGCGAACUGGCGAGCUGGAGCACUGUAGAGGCAGGUGGAAUUCCGGGUGUAGCGGUGGAAUGCGUAGAGAUCCGGAAGAACACCGGUGGCGAAGGCGGCCUGCUGGGCAGUGGCUGACGCUGAGGCGCGACAGCGUGGGGAGCAAACAGG